UAGAGAAAUAAACAGCUAUUGGUCAGUCAUUUUAUUGGUCAGAAUAACCAUUAUUGCUCUGAUACCUUAUUUUAAAAUGUUUUUAAUAAUUUUUCAUGAAAUCCUCUCUGUAGUUCAACUUAUUCAAGUUAUAAACUGAUCAAUCGGAUAAAAGUAAGACGAGCCUCCUGGCCCUCACAUCCAACAUUCAAAACCUAUGAUUUACAGAUUUCGUGAAGUCCGCUUUCAAGUGGUAGAGGUGUGGCCUUCCAACAAGCUCACUCCUGAUUGAUGAGAGCAGUUGCCAUAUGUGGCAAGUGGAGUCCCACUUAGAAAGUGACUCCACCUGUACGCACCAGCACAGGUGCAAUAAGCCCUCUGUUCACCUGCAGAGGACUUGUAAAGGUGGCUUCCCUCUGGCAGCGUGAGAAUCAGCUUUAACCUGCUGCUUCCAGGUUGGGCCAGCUGAGUGUAGCCUCAGAGAGUGAUUGUGCUGAUUGCAGCUGUGUGCUCUAGGGAUUCCUGUUGGUCAUCCUCCUAAGGUGCACAGGUAUCUAUGUUAGGUACUGUUGUGUUUGGUACCACUGUUUGGGCGUUGCUGCUUGCCACGUUACUGGCAUUUUCUAUUUUGGACUUUGGAGCCAUCCGGUCAUGCCUCUGCUCUCGCCCCUUGCCAACUCACCAGAUGGGACUGGGGGCCGGAGUUUCCCUACAUCGUACAAUGGAAGGGCAUAAGCUGCUGACGGUGUGCGACAUGUGUGUGACCAGUGGGCGUCUGGACUAUGUUGAGCCUGGGGACUGUGCACUGGAGCUGUGGAGGAUUGUGUGCAGGCUCUAAUGUGACCCAAUAAUUUGUGGUUUUAAACUUAGUGUUUCUUUCAGCGAUUCUAUUUUGUAUUAAAGAUUUGAAUUUG